rnacentral:rRNA from 1 species
AUGGCUUAUUCGGACGUCAGCGUGGUUUUUGAGAUCCGUGCGCUUGAAAAAAUGACAAAUAAUUUUUCCGACGAGAAACUAGUUGGCAGUGGUGGGUAUGGGGCUGUUUACAAGGGAGUGCGUGAAGAUGGGAAAGAAAUUGCAGUGAAGAAGCUUCAUCAAUUGAUAGGACUUGAUGAUAAGCCAUUUAACAAUGAAUUCCAUACCCUUAUCAAUAUAAACCAUCCAAAUGUUGUACAACUAAUUGGUUACUGCUAUGAGUCACGGAGAAAUUACAAGAAGCACAACAAUGAAACAAUUACUGCUAUAGUAAAGGAGCGAAUUCUCUGCUUCGAAUACAUGCACGGUGGUAGCCUUGACAAACAUAUUGGAGCUGAUAUGUGCGACCUUGAUUAG